ACUCCUACGGGAGGCAGCAGUGGGGAAUAUUGCACAAUGGAGGGAACUCUGAUGCAGCGACGCCGCGUGAGCGAUGAAGGCCUUCGGGUCGUAAAGCUCUGUCCUAUGGGACGAUAAUAACGGUACCAUAGGAGGAAGCCCCGGCUAACUACGUGCCAGCAGCCGCGGUAAU
rnacentral:rRNA from 1 species